UCCAUGGUGGCUCAUUGGUAAAGAAUCUGCCUGGCAAUGCAGGAGACACAGGUUCGAUCCCUGGUCAGGGAA
rnacentral:tRNA from 1 species